UCUCCGUAGGUGAACCUGCGGAGGGAUCAUUGAAUCUAGACCCAUGCACAACUCGUGUGACCCUGCUGACCCCCCCGGUCGGGGCCCCGCGAGGGGACCCGGCCGGCGCCUGUUCCUCGGGCCGGCACCCCCUUCCCAGGAAGGACCGGGCCGGCCGUCUGCCAAGGUCUGGCGGGCCGAUGGGGGCGGCGCUCACCGCCCUAUCCCUCGAUAGGGAGGCGACGCUGCCUCCGAUCACGUCGGCCGGACAAAACCCACUCACCCUACCAACCGUCGAGCCUGAAGCCAGUGGCCGGCGAGCUCACCGGCGACACAACCAAUGACAACUCUCAACAACGGAUAUCUUGGCUCCC
rnacentral:misc_RNA from 1 species